UACGAAGGGGGCUAGCGUUGCUCGGAAUCACUGGGCGUAAAGCGCACGUAGGCGGCUUGUUAAGUCAGGGGUGAAAUCCUGGAGCUCAACUCCAGAACUGCCUUUGAUACUGGCAAGCUUGGAGUCCGGGAGAGGUGAGUGGAACUGCGAGUGUAGAGGUGAAAUUCGUAGAUAUUCGCAAGAACACCAGUGGCGAAGGCGGCUCACUGGCCGGUCUGACAGUGAGGCGGUGACGAAGCGUGGGGAGCAAACAGG
rnacentral:rRNA from 1 species